GGACUGCAAGGUCUGUGAGAGCAGGGAAAUCCCUGGAAACCUCCGGAGAAGYGCAGAACCUGCCCUGAGUGCCAUGCACAAGGACUGCAUCCUGUGGACUCUUCCUAGCAGAUCCCUCAAGGGGCCUAACUCUGCUCUCUGGAGCCCAGGUCUGUGAUCCUGCUUUUACUCUGCUCCCUUCUCUCAAGACUCUCAGGACUCUCAACUCCACCAUGCCGUGGUCUCUCCAGCCAAGGUUGCCUCUCAUCUUCCACACCCCUCACCAGGUCUUCCAAGCUUUCCAGUAUCAGAUCCAUCAGAGCAUUUUCCCUCUUUGUAAUUUUGACCACCGUGCUGGGAAAUUGUUUCCAGAGCGUUUCAGGAGCCUCCAGGAUUGUCUGUGCCCUGYUGUGCUGCCCCCCAGCUGGUACCACAGCGGUUCAGACGUCCAGUGAAGACCCUGGCUGCCAACAGGAUCCUUGUUCCAGCUGUCUGAAGAAAGAUUCCUGCUCUGCUUCCCGAUCCACAGGUCCAGGUCAGGGUAUCUCAGACAAGUUCUUGAGCACGACAGAACAGCCCCAGCCUGCAGAACUUGCCUGGCCCCUCAGAGAAGGAGGAAUUGAUCCCAGCUUCUGCUGGACCUCACCCAAGGCUCCUGCAUGUUUCUGUCCCCAUGUGUCAUGGCCUGAGAGACUGGGAAAGCUUGGAUUUCCUGAAGACUGGCUCCACUGCUGAUGUACCCCUGGGCUUCCAGAGAGACAGUGAGGAGAGCAGGUGAAGGGCAGGAGCAGGAGGCCUCCUCCUUCCACGGAGAAACCACGGAGAGGAGACCCACGGAGUGCUUGGGUGUGAGGAGGGACCCGAGGGAGGGGCUGGGACACAGAGAGAGGAACAGAGGGUCCUUGGGGUGCUGGGAUUUCUGGAUCCCUGCAGCUUGCAGCUGUGCCCCAGGGAGCGCUGGUGCUGGGUCCCACAAGGCUGAGCUCAGCUCUGCAGCUGCCAGGGCUGGGAGCAGGAGCUGGGGCAGGGGGACCUCGCUGGCUCUGGAGGGACACCAGGAACCAGCAUUUCGUGGACAUUGCAGUGAGGAGGCAGGACACAGAUUUCUGGGCCUCUGUUUGCCCUCAGAGCUUUAGGAAAUCAUGCUUUGGCUCAAGGACAAGGCUGGUAUUGACCCUUUCUGCUCUGCCUUCAGCUGUCAGCUCAGGCCAARCCCAUGACAGGAAAACCAGAGUACCAGGAGGAGAGGGAUAAAUGGGAAACUGAGGUGGGAACGGAAGAACAGGUAGUGAGGAGGGAGGUGUUGGAGGAUGGUGAGGAAGGGAAGCACGAGAGGAUGAGAGCAUUGAGGCCUCCAGCCAAGGCACCCCAUGCUUCUCUCAGCCUGUCUUUCAUGUCUCAGAGUGUUUGGGUUUCUCUAAACUUAGAAAAUCCCACAUGAAGAUUUUUUUUCAUCUUAUCACCAAGACUGCUAAGUGCAACCCAAACUAAGAGACACCACACAGAACAAAUGCUUAAACAUUAAACCCACA